CCUACGGGAGGCUGCAGUGGGGAAUAUUGCACAAUGGGGGGAACCCUGAUGCAGUGACGCCGCGUGGGUGAAGGAGUAUUUCGGUGUGUAAAGCCCUAUCAGCAGGGAAGAACAAUGACGGUACCUGACUAAGAAGCACCGGCUAAUUACGUGCCAGCAGCCGCGGUAAUACGUAGGGGGCAAGCGUUAUCCGGAUUUACUGGGUGGAAAGGGAGCGCAGGCGGCGCGUUAAGCCUGGUGUGAAAGUCCGCGGCCCAACCGCGGGAGUGCAUUGGAAACUGGCGGGCUGGAGUGCCGGAGGGGUAGGCGGAAUUCCUAGUGUAGCGGUGAAAUGCGUAGAUAUUAGGAGGAACACCAGUGGCGAAGGCGGCCUACUGGACGGUGACUGACGCUGAGGCUCGAAAGCGUGGGGAGCAAACAGGAUUAGAUACCCUUGUAGUC
rnacentral:rRNA from 1 species